rnacentral:lncRNA from 1 species
AAUGUAAAAAAAAAAAAGUCAUUUUAGCUGCCACCUAUGACUUUGCCACAUAGCUGAACUGUGUUUACUGGAAAAAUUCAGAGGCCUAAAGUUUAAAAUAAAAUUUACUUCCGACGUUUUAAUUACAAAUGUUUGCCACAUUAACUUCUCUGAUGCCUUAAAAGUGGACUUCUUUGAAGAACUUCUGUGCUAUUUUAUCACAGGCUCAUACCACAAUUGUUAAUAUCUGGAGAUGGAUGAUGAACACACACACACACACACACACACACACACACACACACACACCAAAAGCACAAACCUCCAGUCCGCCAGUCACUUCUUCCUGGGUCUGUCUGCUGCUCUCGGUCCUCUAAGCUCCCCUUGGAGUUGGAGAGGUAUCGGGGACACUGCUGGUUAGUACGUUUUGAUUUUAAACAGGACCUUUGUGUGGUCAGAUCCCACAGCACUGCCUGUCCUUUUUUUUUUAACUGGAAAGACCUCCUUCAGACACUCUGCCUCUUAGUGCCAAACCCACCGUCAGACCAAGAGUCAGGACUUCAGGACUCUGUCCUUCCUUCCCACUCAUCGCCCUUGCAGACAGCGUGUGCUUUGCGAACAGCAGCAGAAGUCACAUUUAGAACAAAAAGGAGGGGAUUAUAAAAAAACUAGACACACACCUUCACAAAGAGACAACAUAGAGCUUAGAAAGCGUUCAUUCAAGGGACUCAGUAAGAGAAACGGAAUGUCCCCAAGGGUCAGUGGGCCACACUCUGGCUUUGUGGCUGCUGACAGGGCUUAGCUACACGAACAGCCUGAGAAGUCACUUUGGAACUAAAUUGCCUCGAUUUAUUUUGUGUAAGUAAGGGUUUGACCUAAAAAGAGCUCACGUGCACAUUAGCAAGUGUCCUCAUGCCCGCACCCGGUUUGUGUUGUAGAUCAACUAGCCAACGCCCUCAUUGCUUCAUUGUGUCAAAAAACCGAGAGCUUCACUAAAUGGUAGAUUUUGCUGUCAGAGACCCUACAAUAAGAUUGUUUUAUCUGUACAUUUUUUCAGAUAUUUAACUGUAUAAAAUGUUCAUUUUACACAAUAUUUAAUUAAAGUAUUUCUUGUCUG